rnacentral:lncRNA from 1 species
CUCUCUCUAACCCUCGUUCCCCUCUCUUCCCCUUCCUCUCCACUUCCCCCCUCUCUCUGUCCCCCUCUCUCUCUCCCUCUCUCCCCUCUCUCUAACCCUCGCCUUCCCCACUCUCUUCACCUCCCUCCUCCUUUCUCCCCCUCCCUUUCCUGCUCUCCUCAUUUUCUCUCUCUCUCUCUCGCAGUGCAUGCUGGGAGUUUUUGGGAGUUUGAGUGUUUGGUGUGGAGGGCUCUGUCCUAACUAACUUUCUUGAUUAUUUUCUUUACAUGGUAUUUUCUAUGGUGGAGGGUUAAUGCAAUAUUUGUUUUAGUGGUAUCCACAGCUUUUUCAAAGUUAGGGUGGAAGAGGACAGAGUUAGUUUCCUGGGGUUUGGAAGGUGUGGUGUGCGCGGAGGAGAUGCUGUCGAUAUGGCAUGGAUUCAGGUGUGUUCCUGAGAAUGGAGUUAAGGUGGAGGAGGUUCUGCUCACGGUCGGUGAACAGUGGAGCGAUUGGAGAGGCAGUCUGCAGAGCUGAGACUGGCCCCACAGCAGCCAUGGAGAACACAUUCAACACACGGAGAUAACCACACAGCACCGGAACAGUCUACGGCAUUGCAGUGCUAGAGGCAUCACUACAGACCUGGGUUCGAUCCCGGCCUGUAUCACAACCGGCCUAGAUCGGGAGUCCCAUAGGGCGGCAGACAAUUGGCCCAGCGUCAUCUGGGUUAGGGGAGGGUUUGGCCAGGGUAGGUCGUCAUUGUAAAUAAGAAUUUGUUCUUAACUGACUUGACUGGUUAAAUAAAGGUUAAAUAAAUGAAAUAAUCUCCAUAUGGCAUUGAUGUAUACAUGAUGGAUAUGUGGAGUAACUAGCUCAACUCUAGAUUGGUUUUCUUCAUCGAAUCGGACUGAAAAGUAUGUUUAAAAGCCACAGCUGCACACACACACACACACACACACACACACACACACACACACACACACACACACACACACACACACACACACAUCAUUGGUUGUGUGUCUCAGCAUGGGCCCAUUUCCAAUCAAAGCGCUGGGGUCAGCAGUAAGGAUGUCUCUAGAACUGUUUUCUCUAAUCACUAACUGAUUAGACAUUUCACACUGAGACAGACCUCAUCAGAAUCCUUCAUGUGUUCAGUCACACAUCUAUGCAAGUUUGUGUGUGUGUGUGUGUGUGUGUGUGUGUGUGUGUGUGUGUGUGUGUGUGUGUGUGUGUGUUUUAAUGAGAGUCUGAAGUUAAGUUUUGGCUAGUUGGCUUUAGCGUCCAGCAGAGACAUAAACAUGUUGAUAUCUCUGAUGUCCAUCAGAUGUUGUUUUUACUGGAAAUAUCAGUUCCCCAUCUGAAAAGUUUAGGUCUAACUUGUAUUAUUCAAUGAAAGAAAGUGAGGACCUAACCAAAUGUUUCUACUGGUUCUUUUAACUAUCUGGGAAUUAUGGACUAACGUUUGGCAGAGGACUCUAAAAAGUCCUGUUUUGUUGUCUGUGUGUGUGUUUGUGUAUAGCCACUGUCCAGGUGAUAAAUAUGUCCCUAGGAGGGGUGUGUCACUUGAGUGGGUUGAGUCACUGACGUGAUCUUCCUGUCCGGGUUGGCGUCCCCCCCCUCGGGUUUGUGCCAUGGGGGAAAUCUUUGUUGGCUAUACUUGGCCUUGUCUCAG